GUGUCUGAUCGUCAAAAGGAGCUUCUGCUGGCUUUUGCGAAAGAGCACCCACAGAUCGCGACGCUGUCGUGCCCGCUGGAGCCGUCGUUCACGAGGGAGGACCGGGACGACAUGUGGCAGGAGCUGGUAGCGCUUUUGAACGAAGUCCCUGCGCGUAACACCACAGCCUUGCCAAACUCCGAGAGCAGCAGAGCGGCACCGGAGGCGGCCAGAUUACGGGCUAACGCGGCCGCGUCGUGCUUGACAGGGACCGCGCGGGUCGACAGUACGCGAGGCCCAGAGUUCGGGUGAUUUGAAUCGGUGAGCCCUGCUCCAGCUGCUGCUGGUGUGGCUGAAGAGGAUGUGGCCCAGGAUCUUCCCCGUGCCCCAACACGUAAGUUUCACUGAUGUUUUUGAUUAACUGUAGAUGGUGUUACAUGCUCACAGGUGAUGCUCACGCGUGCAGGCAUAUGUUUGUGAAGAGAUGACAUCUGUGGGCAUAAAGACAA